GCUAAAUGGCCUUUUAUUUUGGCUCUGUCUGCAUCCCUCUCUAACUGCAGAGCAUAUUCGCGGGGUAAAGGAAGCUUUUCGCGCGAGAAAGAAAUGGUGGAGAGCCUGGUCUGCACGUGCUGGUUGUGGGGGUCGACUUCUCCGGAGAUGAGAGAUCGAGACCGAACCCGGUGGAGCUGUGUGAUUAAUCCGACUGUGAAACCCUAAUAGGCCGAGGUGAAUGAAAGAUGGGUUUUUGGUCUUCUCAGGUUUCUUGAAAACAAAAGUGACAUGGAAAAAAUCUUCUCAGACCUCUCCAAAACCAGAGGCAACCUUAUGGAUUCAAAUUCUAAUUUUAGUCUAGAAUCGAGGUUCUGAUUUCUGGUUUUGAAUUGAAUCUUGGAAAUGAGGGUGAACUUUUUAAGGAGUUAUCAGAAUAUUUAGCUAGGCCAAUCCAGUAAAUGCCAACUUUUUUGGCUUCUAAUUUUUUGUUAUGAAUUGAAUUUUGGAAAUAAAGGUUGAUAUGUUUUAAGCU